CCUACGGGUGGCUGCAGUGGGGAAUAUUGGACAAUGGGGGCAACCCUGCUCCAGCCAUGCCGCGUGUGUGAAGAAGGCCCUCGGGUUGUAAAGCACUUUCAGUGAGGAAGAACGCCUGGUGGUUAAUACCCAUCAGGAAAGACAUCACUCACAGAAGAAGCACCGGCUAACUCCGUGCCAGCAGCCGCGGUAAUACGGAGGGUGCGAGCGUUAAUCGGAAUUACUGGGCGUAAAGCGCGCGUAGGUGGCUUGAUAAGCCGGUUGUGAAAGCCCCGGGCUCAACCUGGGAACGGCAUCCGGAACUGUCAAGCUAGAGUGCAGGAGAGGAAGGUAGAAUUCCCGGUGUAGCGGUGAAAUGCGUAGAGAUCGGGAGGAAUACCAGUGGCGAAGGCGGCCUUCUGGACUGACACUGACACUGAGGUGCGAAAGCGUGGGUAGCAAACAGGAUUAGAUACCCGUGUAGUC
rnacentral:rRNA from 1 species